rnacentral:rRNA from 1 species
CCUACGGGUGGCUGCAGUGAGGAAUAUUGGUCAAUGGACGAGAGUCUGAACCAGCCAAGCCGCGUGAAGGAUGACUGCCCUAUGGGUUGUAAACUUCUUUUAUAUGGGAAUAAAACGUUCCACGUGUGGGAUUUUGUAUGUACCAUAUGAAUAAGGAUCGGCUAACUCCGUGCCAGCAGCCGCGGUAAUACGGAGGAUCCGAGCGUUAUCCUGAUUUAUUGGGUUUAAAGGGAGCGUAGGUGGAUUGUUAAGUCAGUUGUGAAAGUUUGCGGCUCAACCGUAAAAUUGCAGUUGAAACUGGCAGUCUUGAGUACAGUAGAGGUGGGCGGAAUUCGUGGUGUAGCGGUGAAAUGCUUAGAUAUCACGAAGAACUACGAUUGCGAAGGCAGUUCACUGGACUGCAACUGACACUGAGGCUCGAAAGUGUGGGUAUCAAACAGGAUUAGAUACCCCUGUAGUC